AUAGUUAUUGAGAGAGGGACUGCUUCCUAAGAACUUGAUAAUCAUAUUACGCAGGGAUCAGAAAUUCUUUGAUCCACUCCACAAAAGAACUUCAGAGGAAAUACUGAAUCCAACAAGAGUUUAGUCAUUUACAUGCAGGAUAUCUCGUGCUGCAGCUGAUCCUUGUGUAGUCGGUAUCAAUGGAGGAAAUCUACAUCAAUGCAAAGCAUGAGAGUCGAGAGUCAAGAAUUUUAUCAAAUCAGCCAGGUCCCAGGAGCUCUGAGAGGAGAUUUCAUGGAGCUGUUGUUGUCUCUGUGAGUCUGCUGAGUGUUCUCCUGCUGGCUGGGCUCGUUGUCCUCUGU